UACGUAGGGUGCGAGCGUUGUCCGGAAUUAUUGGGCGUAAAGAGCUCGUAGGCGGUUUGUCGCGUCUGCCGUGAAAGUCCGGGGCUCAACUCCGGAUCUGCGGUGGGUACGGGCAGACUAGAGUGAUGUAGGGGAGACUGGAAUUCCUGGUGUAGCGGUGAAAUACGCAGAUAUCAGGAGGAACACCGAUGGCGAAGGCAGGUCUCUGGGCAUUAACUGACGCUGAGGAGCGAAAGCAUGGGGAGCGAACAGG
rnacentral:rRNA from 1 species